rnacentral:misc_RNA from 1 species
UACGGAGGGGGCUAGCGUUGUUCGGAAUUACUGGGCGUAAAGCGCGCGUAGGCGGUUUGCCGAGUCAGGCGUGAAAGCCCCGGGCUUAACCUGGGAACUGCGUUUGAUACUGGCAGACUAGAGGCCGGGAGAGGGUAGUGGAAUUCCCAGUGUAGAGGUGAAAUUCGUAGAUAUUGGGAAGAACACCGGUGGCGAAGGCGGCUACCUGGACCGGACCUGACGCUGAGGUGCGAAAGCGUGGGGAGCAAACAGG